GGAAGAGGUGGGGUUUAAAGCACUGAUACCUGAUGUGAUCUUGUUAAACUUCUGUUAGAGAGAGCAUAAGAAACAAACACAAUGAAACUCCAUUCUGUCAUUCUGCUUUCUGCCUUUGCAUAUGCAACAUAUGGAAAUGAAAUUAAACCAACCAAAACUUUGGAGUUUGCUGAGGAGGGUUCAAGUGUUAAAUUAUCCUGCAGUUAUUCAUCUGCAUUCAAUCUUCACUGGUACCGUCGGUAUCCUGGAUCAGCUCCUCAGUUCAUUGUGCUCAUCUCAGACAGAUCAACACAAGCUCAGGAGUCUAAUGUAGAUUCCAGAUUCACAGCUAAAGUCACUAAAGACAAAGAAAACCAUGUGGAUCUGAAGAUCUCCUCUGCAUCUAUAUCAGAUUCUGCUCUGUACUACUGUGCUCUGGAGCCCACAGUGACAGGAAACACAAGAACACUGUACAAAAACCUGACAUAACUAUA